AAUCAACGCUGGCGGCGUGCCUAACACAUGCAAGUCGAACGCGAAAGGGGCUUCGGCCCUGAGUAGAGUGGCGAACGGGUGAGUAACGCGUGGGUGAUCUACCUUCGAGUGGGGGAUAACGUUCCGAAAGGGACGCUAAUACCGCAUGACGUUCUGGGUUUAAAGACCUGGAAACCAAAGCCGGGGACCGCAAGGCCUGGCGCUUGAAGAGGAGCCCGCGUCCGAUUAGCUAGUUGGCGGGGUAACGCCACCAAGGCGACGA
rnacentral:rRNA from 1 species